AGGGAAUUUAGGGAUCUUAGCUUAUGGGAAGGGAUUUUAUUGUAUGGAAGGGUAAAGAUAUCUUGGGAGGAAAUUUUUCUCUCCUCUUACCAAUAGAAAAAUCUACUUAUUAAUAGAGAAUCUAGAUGAAGGGACCUAUUAAUAGAUGGAAUAAAAAAUAGAGGGGUAAAAAAAUUCUAAAAAUAUGAGGCCUAAGUCAUAAAUAAUUUUAUAAUUUAGAGACUAAAUAAUAAUUUACCUUAUAUUUUAUUUAUUAAACACCAUUAACCUAGUGAUUGAAAUUCAAUGAAACUAAUAAGUCAUUUCAUUUAGUACAUUAUAUGUCAUCUAUCGGGUUUGAUAU
rnacentral:misc_RNA from 1 species